GAUUUCUGGUACGAUGCCCCUGAUCCGCGGUCUUCGGAUUGUGUGUGUUGGUGUGGCGUCUGCCAUCUUUUGUAAGCGCUGGUCGUUUGGGCCUUUACUGGUUCAGGCGUUUCUCACGUGUUUGCAAGUUUUACUUUGAAAAAAUUAGAGUGUUUAAAGCAGGCAUUUUGCUAUGAAUACAUUAGCAUGGAAUAAUAAUAUAGGACUUCGGUUCUAUUUUGUUGGUUUCUAGUACUGAAGUAAUGAUUGAUAGGGACAGUUGGGGGUGCUAGUAUUCAGCGGCCAGAGGUGAAAUUCUUGGAUUCGCUGAAGACUAACUUAUGCGAAAGCAUU
rnacentral:rRNA from 1 species